AACGAACGCUGGCGGCAGGCUUAACACAUGCAAGUCGAACGAACUCUUCGGAGUUAGUGGCGGACGGGUGAGUAACACGUGGGAACGUGCCUUUAGGUUCGGAAUAACUCAGGGAAACUUGUGCUAAUACCGAAUGUGCCCUUCGGGGGAAAGAUUUAUCGCCUUUAGAGCGGCCCGCGUCUGAUUAGCUUGUUGGUGGGGUAAUGGCCCACCAAGGCGACGAUCAGUAGCUGGUCUGAGAGGAUGACCAGCCACAUUGGGACUGAGACACGGCCCAAACUCCUACGGGAGGCAGCAGUGGGGAAUCUUGCGCAAUGGGCGAAAGCCUGACGCAGCCAUGCCGCGUGGAUGAUGAAGGUCUUAGGAUUGUAAAAUCCUUUCACCGGUGAAGAUAAUGACUGUAGCCGGAGAAGAAGCCCCGGCUAACUUCGUGCCAGCCGCCGCAGUAACAC
rnacentral:rRNA from 1 species